rnacentral:rRNA from 1 species
GUUUGAUCCUGGCUCAGAGCGAACGUUAGCGGCGGGCCUAACACAUGCAAGUCGAACGAGAAUGUAGGCUUCGGUCUACUAGUAAAGUGGCGGACGGGUGCGUAACACGUGGGUAAUCUACCUUCCGGCGGGGGACAACAGUCCGAAAGGAUUGCUAAUACCGCAUACGUCAGCGGCGCCUACGGGCGCUGUUGGGAAAGAUGGCCUCUCCUUGGAAGCUGUCACCGGAAGAUGAGCCCGCGUCCCAUCAGCUAGUUGGUGAGGUAACGGCUCACCAAGGCUUAGACGGGUAGCUGGUCUGAGAGGAUGAUCAGCCACACUGGGACUGCGACACGGCCCAGACUCCUACGGGAGGCAGCAGUGGGGAAUAUUGGGCAAUGGGCGGAAGCCUGACCCAGCCACGCCGCGUGAGUGAUGAAGGCCUUCGGGUCGUAAAGCUCUGUGGGGAGGGACGAAUAAGCCUGGUGAUAAUAACACCGGGCCCUGGCGGUACCUCCUUAGCAAGCACCGGCUAACCCUGUGCCAGCAGCCGCGGUAAUACAGGGGGUGCAAACGUUGCUCGGAAUCAUUGGGCGUAAAGCGCACGUAGGCGGUUCGUUAUGUCGGAUGUGAAAGCCCUUGGCUUAACCGAGGAAGUGCAUCCGAAACUGGCGAGCUAGAGUACUAAAGAGGAUCGCGGAAUUCCCGGUGUAGAGGUGAAAUUCGUAGAUAUCGGGAGGAACACCGGUGGCGAAGGCGGCGAUCUGGGUAGAUACUGACGCUGAGGUGCGAAAGCGUGGGGAGCAAACAGGAUUAGAUACCCUGGUAGUC